AGUCGGACCCACCUCCUUCCUUUCGUCACCUUCCAAUAAUGCUCUGUUGAGGUACAGCUGUUUCCUCCUGUCUAGAUAGGCCCAUGAUCAUCCUCAUGGAACAGAGGUUGCCAUAGUGACCUUCAGAAUGCUUGGCCCCAUAGUCACAUCCCUGAAAUAAACAGACCAACACAGCGAUGGCUAUGUUUAUGCAAGAAGCCCCAAAGGAAAUCAAGUAUGAAUAAGGGUAUGCUGGAGCCCUGUCUGCGAUCAAACAACAAAGAAUCUAUGGAAGAAUUGGACAGUGAGGAAAUGGAAAAUGAGAUAGACGUGAGAGAAGAUAUCCUCAGCUCCAACCUUCAAUACAGAGGAAGGGAGAUUCCAAUACUCAGCAUGUAGGUAGGGGCCUUAGAGCUGGGAACUACGUAGUCAAGGUGUAUUCUGCCCAUGAACUGCUUGAGCAUUGGGAAAGACAUUGGGAACAUUCAGUGAAAGACCCUCUUCCACCUGGUAUAUUAGAUGGACAUACAUAGAGGUGAAUGGAAUCAAUUCCAUUAUCGUGGACAUAGAAACUGACUAAUAUUACUACCCUGAGAUAAAUACUUCAUAAUCUGAGACGGCAUGAGGGAAAUCGGUUCCUGCUGGCCUGGUUCAUAUGAUCCAUUGGGGAUACUUUGCGGUUGCCAGCCGAGGGCUCCGUGGACAUCAGGGACUCAAGACAAUAAAGGAAAGGCUUGUUUGUGACUGAGGAA